rnacentral:ncRNA from 1 species
UGUCUGUGAAGAUGCGGACUACCUACACCUAGACAGAAAGACCCUAUGAAGCUUUACUGUUCCCUGGGAUUGGCUUUGGGCCUUUCCUGCGCAGCUUAGGUGGAAGGCGAAGAAGGCCCCCUUCCGGGAGGGGGGGGGUCCGAGCCAUCAGUGAGAUACCACUCUGGAAGAGCUUGGAUUCUAACCUUGUGUCAGACCCGCGGGCCAAGGGACAGUCUCAGGUAGAUAGUUUCUAUGGGGCGUAGGCCUCCCAAAAGGUAACGGAGGCGUGCAAAGGUUUCCUCGGGCCAGACGGACAUUGGUCCUCGAGUGCAAAGGCAGAAUGGAGCUUGACUGCAAGACUCACCCGUCGAGCAGAGAUGAAAGUCGGCCUUAGUGAUCCGAUAGUGCCGAGUGGAAGGGCCGUCGCUCAACGGAUAAAAGUUACUCUUGGGAUAACAUGCUGAUCUUCCCCAAGAGUCCACAUCGACGGGAAGGUUUGGCACCUCGAUGUCGGCUCUUCGCCACCUGGAGCUGUAGGUGGUUCCAAGGGUUGGGCUGUUCGCCCAUUAAUGCGGUACGUGAGCUGGGUUCAGAACGUCGUGAGACAGUUCGGUCCAUAUUCGGUGUGGGCGUUAGAGCAUUGAGAGGACCUUUCCCUAGUACGAGAGGACCGGGAAGGACGCACCUCUAGUGUACCAGUUAUCGUGCCUACGGUAAACGCUAGGUAGCCAAGUGCGGAGAGGAUAACUGCUGAAAGCAUAUAAGUAGUAUGCCCACCCCAAGAUGAGUGCUCUCUCCUCCGACUUCCCUAGAGCCUCCGGUAGCACAGCCGAGACAGCGACGGGUUCUCCACCCAUACGGGGAUGGAGCGACAGAAGCAUGGAAAUAGGAUAAGGUAGCGGCGAGACGAGCCGUUUAAAUAGGUGUCAAGUGGAAGUGCAGUGAUGUAUGCAGCUGAGGCAUCCUAACGAACGAA